GCCUAUGGCCACACCACUAUGAAAGCACCUAAUCUUGGAAGCUAUCUGGGGCUGGGUCUGGUUAGUACCUGGAUGGGAGAUCGCCUGGGAAUGCCAGGUGUCGUAGGCU
rnacentral:rRNA from 1 species